rnacentral:lncRNA from 10 species
UCCUCCACAACCCAAGCUACUGAAAUGUCCCCUGCUCUGCCAGCUCAGGUGUCAUUAUUUGGGAAAUAUUACUUCUCAACAUUCUUUUUCUAGUUGUUUGCUUUUUCCAUUAUUUGCAGCUCAGCAGCUAUUAAGAUCCAAUGCUGCAGAAAACAACAAUAACAACAAAAGAGCCGCUUAAUAACUAAACUUAAAAACCAAACUAGUCAGCAGCGAACAAUGCCUUGUCAACAUUUCUAAAUGGAGCAGAAAGAAGGCAAGCCAAAAGGACAGAGAGAGGGCAAAAGAGAGAAAGGGACGCUUCCUGAUGGAUGAGUAUGCAUAAGUGCUUCGGAUAAUGGCUAAGAGGUGGGCUUUGCCCUCAAGAUAAAUGAAAUAAAUCCUCCAGCUGAUGAGAACUUAAUAUGUUCUUCCUCCCCAAGGUAUUUACAAAGGCAGCAGAGACUCUCGGAAUCCCCAAAGCCUUCACGCUCCAAAGUAAGGCACGACAGAUUUCAAGGAGGAGGAGAUAUUUUGGGGCAGAAGAGUUUUCCAGGACCCAUCAAAUCACUCCCUACAGACAUCUGUCUGAUAGCUCCAGUCAGAUUGACUGUGCCAAGCAGACAGACCACCCACAAACUGCAAUAAAUAACAACCGUCUCUUCUGAGUCAGUUAUCCACUGUAUCACCCAAGGCCUGACUCCAGUUUGUGGACAAGAUCCAGACUGGCAAGAGCUGCAGAGCCUGGAGAUGGUGGGAAGGCAGCCCAGAGAUCAGAG